UCUCCGUAGGUGAACCUGCGGAGGGAUCAUUACAGAGUUCAUGCCCUACCGGGUAGAUCUCCCACCCUAUGUUAUUAUUACUUUGUUGCUUUGGCGGGCCGUUAGGCUCCGGCCCGACUACCGGCCCCGGCUGGUAAGCGCCCGCCAGAGGACCCAAAACCCUAAAUAUUAGUGUCGUCCGAGUACUAUAUAAUAGUUAAAACUUUCAACAACGGAUCUCUUGGUUCUG
rnacentral:misc_RNA from 1 species